rnacentral:rRNA from 1 species
AUGUCUUCUCGUAGUGAGGUCUUAUCUAUCUAUAAGCCAUUUGCUGCCAUGGUUCACACUCAGUUCUCUACGCCUAUUCAUGUGUUCUGUGUUGACUCUGCCGGAGAGUAUAUCUGCAACAUGUUGCAUGGAGUCCUUGUUGAGCAGGGUAACCUUGCUUAUUUCUCUUGUCCUGGUGCUGAUGCUCAGAAUGGCGUGGCUGAGCGCAAGCAUCAUCACCUUGAGACGACUCGUGCAUUGACGAUCGCCACCUCUCUUCUGCCUCACUUUUGGGCCGAAGGUGUCUCCACUUCCACCAUCUCAUCAACCUUCAGCCAUCCACUGCUUUGCAGGUUGGCGUUCCUUUUGACGUCUCUUUGA